rnacentral:lncRNA from 10 species
CCCGGGCCUGCGGCCUUGGUAGCCAGGCCACCCGCUGCCCUGAUGAGGCUGCUGGGAGUGAGUAUUCCAGCUCUGCGUGGUCCUUUCGUCUUGUGAAAGAGAAAAACAUUGAACUACAACUUUAAGCUCUUCAUUUGAAGAAAGUUACAGUUCAGACACUGGAGAUUUUUGUCACCAAUAUUUCAAGCUGGGCUCAUCCUUGGAGACCUCGACUGGGCUUCGCCUUCUUCAUUCCAGUGAGGUCACGCACCUCCACCCUGCUCCUGCCUCUGCAGCAUGGAACACAUCAAUUUCCUUGUCAAUUGAGAAUCAAGAAAGAUAUAUUCUAUCCACAGUUUCAUUUCACCAAUCAUCUGUUCAUUUUCAACUAACGACAACCAUUUAUAUGUCUUUAAAUAUUAAUGUGGGUGCCAAAGAACACAAAGCAAAGGCACUGUUCAUUCAGAGCCGAAAUUGACUGAGAAUUCCUGCAGAGGUGAAGUUUCUUCUAAUUGAUGGAUUUGGUCUGGCAAUGCCCAUGGCCAGAGGUGCACAACAAGGAAAUGAAUGAGUGCAGAGGGAAUAGUGCCAGUCAAGAAUCUACAGGUUCAGGUGUAUGCUUAGAUGGAGUCUCAGUCUGCCACCAGGCUGGAGUGCAGUGGCACGAUUUCAGCUCACUGCAACCCCCGCCUCCCGGGUUCAAGCGAUUCUUCUGCCUCAGCCUCCUGAGUAGCUGGGGCUACAGGUGCCUGCCACCAUUCCCAGUUAAUUUUUGUAUUUUUAGUAGAGACAGGGUUUCACCAUGUUGGCCAGGAUGGUCUCGAUCUCUUGAUCUCAUGAUCUGCCCGCUUUGGCCUCCCAAAGUGCUGGAAUUAUAGGUGUGAGCCACUGCGCCCAGUCAUUUAUUUUUAUUUUUAUUUAAUUUUAAUUUUUUUUUUGAGACAGAGUAUUGCUCUGUCACCUAGGCUAGAGUGCAGUGGUGCAAUCUCUGCUCACUGCAACCUCUGCCUCCUAGGUUCACACCAUUCUCCUGCCUCAGCCUCCCAAGUAGCUGGGACUACAGGUGCCCGCCACCACACCCGGCUAAUUUUUGUAUUUUUAGUAGAGAUGGGGUUUCAUCAUGUUAGCCAGAAUGGUCUCCAUCUCCUGACCUCGUGAUCCACCCCCUCGGCCUUGCAAAGUGCUAGGAUUACAGGUGUGAGCCACCGCGCCUGGCCUAUUUUUGUUUUUUAAACGGAGUCUCUCUCUGUUGCCCAGGCAAGAGUGCAGUGGUGAGAUCUCAGCUCACUGCAACCUCCGCCUCCAGGUUCAAGUGAUUCUCCUGCCUCAGCCUCCCAAGUAGCUGGGAUUAUAGGCAUUCACCAUCACAUCCCAUCACAUAAUUUUUGUAUUUUUGGUAGAGAUGGGGUUUCGCCAUGUUGGCCAGACUGGUCUUGAACUCGUGACCUCAAGUGAUCUGCUUGCCUCGGCUUCCCAACGUGCUGGGAUUACAGACGUGAGCCACUGUGCCCAGCCCCUUUGCAAUAUUUUAUAAAGGUUAACCAAUAGGCAUAGAGUCCUUAUUUUACUAUAAUGGAAUAUAAAGCCUUGUCCAUUAAAUAAGAAUAAAGUUGCUUGAUUUGUCCCAGUGAAUUGACUACAAAUG